rnacentral:ncRNA from 1 species
AUAAAAUUUAAUUUUUAUUUAAAAAAUUUAUUUUGUAAUUAUAAUAUAAAUGAAAUUUUAAAAGAAAUAAAUUAUUUUAAUAAUAAAAUUUUUAAGAUAUAAAAAUAAUAUUUAUAUUAAUUAAAUUUAUGUAAGUAAAAAAUAGUAAUUUAUAAGAAUGAUAAUAAAUUUAGUGCCAGCAAUUGCGGUUAUACUAAGAUUGAAAAUAAAUUAUUUAUAAUUUAGAAUUAGAUAUAAAAAUUAAAAAUUUUUUUAAUAGUUAAAUUUUAUUUUAUAUGGUGAAAUAUUAAAAUUAAAUAAAAAUUAUAUGAGAAAAUUAAUUUAAGUUAAAUUUAAAAAAUUAAAUAGAUAAAUUAGGAUUAGAUACCCUAUUAUAUUAAUUAAAUUAGUGGAAUUAGAGAUUAAAGGUAAUAAUAGAAGAAAUUUAAAUAAUUUGGCGGUAUUUUAAAUAGUUAGAGGAAUUUGUUAAGUAAUUGAUAAUCCACGGUAGGAGGGGCCUAAUAAGAUUUUAUUUUAUAUAUUGUUGUUUAAAAAUUAUUUUAAAAGAAGCUAUAUAAUUAGAAAAUUUUAUUAAAAUUAAAAUUCAAAUCAAAAUGUAGAAUUAUUAGGAAGAUAAUGAAUUACAUUUUAUUAAAAUAAAAUGAUAUUAUAGUUUUAAUGAUUAUAAUAAAAGAGGAUUUAAUAGUAAAUUUAUUAAAUUUGAUAAGUUGAAAUUUAAAUAAAAUAUGUACAAAUUGCCCGUCAUUUUCAUAAGUUAAUGUAAGUGAAAAAAGUCGUAACAAAGUAAAUGUAUAGGAAUAUGUAUUUAGAUUAGA